rnacentral:tRNA from 1 species
CGGAGUGUAGCGCAGUCUGGUAGCGCAGCAGUCUGGGGGACUGUUGGUCGUCGGUUCAAAUCCGGCCUCUCCGACCA